AGGGACCGCGGGGGUGAUCCAGCCUCCACUUCUCCCUGAUUCUCCAAACGCACCGAGAAGAAAAUUGAGGUCCGACGAGGUUAAGUGGACAAAAAUAAGAAGUUCGCGCAUCUCCUGCUAAUGGAAACCUCAUCCAAUAAUCUCCUCUCAUCUAAUACUGAUAAAGACAUCAAAUGCUCCACACGGCACAGAGGGAAUUUCAAUCUGAGACCAUAGGUGCUGCUCAGAAAUGAAGGCUGAGGCGAGAAAUGCACCAGAGGGUCACUGGCGCAAAAGGACUCAAGACGUGCGACGUCCAACUGGGUAACACUGGCCCCCUGAGCUCCUGAAUGGUGGCUGCUGCAGAUCCACGUGUGCUCGGAGACUGAAAUACACGCGAGAUUGGGAAGGCCAGCUACAAUUUACAACAAGAAACGGAUCAGGGGAGUUCCCAUCUUGGUCCAGCGCUAACGAACCCAACUAGUAUCCCUGAGGCUGAGGGUUCAAUCCCUGGACACACUCCGGGGGUUGGGGAUCUGGCAUUGCCAUGAGCUGUGGUGUAGGUUGCAGACACAGGUCAGAUCUGAAGUUGCUGUGGCUGUAACUCCGAUUCAACCCCUAGCCUAGGAACCUCCACAUGCCAUGGGUAUGACCCUAAAA
rnacentral:lncRNA from 1 species